rnacentral:rRNA from 1 species
AGUGAACGCUGGCGGUAGGCCUAACACAUGCGAGUCGAACGCCAGCACAGUAAGAGCUUGCUCUUACGGGUGGCGAGUGGCGGACGGGUGAGGAAUACAUCGGAAUCUACUUUUUCGUGGGGGAUAACGUAGGGAAACUUACGCUAAUACCGCAUACGACCUACGGGUGAAAGCAGGGGAUCUUCGGACCUUGCGCGAUUGAAUGAGCCGAUGUCGGAUUAGCUAGUUGGCGGGGUAAAGGCCCACCAAGGCGACGAUCCGUAGCUGGUCUGAGAGGAUGAUCAGCCACACUGGAACUGAGACACGGUCCAGACUCCUACGGGAGGCAGCAGUGGGGAAUAUUGGACAAUGGGCGCAAGCCUGAUCCGGCCAUACCGCGUGGGUGAAGAAGGCCUUCGGGUUGUAAAGCCCUUUUGUUGGGAAAGAAAAGCAGCAGGUUAAUACCCCGCUGUUCUGACGGUACCCAAAGAAUAAGCACCGGCUAACUUCGUG